rnacentral:rRNA from 1 species
UACAGAGGGGGCAAGCGUUGUUCGGAAUUACUGGGCGUAAAGGGCGCGUAGGCGGCCCGCUAAGUCGAACGUGAAAUCCCCGAGCUCAACUCGGGAACUGCGUCCGAUACUGGCGGGCUUGAAUCCGGGGAGAGGGAUGCGGAAUUCCAGGUGUAGCGGUGAAAUGCGUAGAUAUCAGGAGGAACACCGGUGGCGAAGGCGGCACUCUGGGCCGGUACUGACGCUGAGGAGCGAAAGCGUGGGGAGCGAACAGG